rnacentral:rRNA from 1 species
AUACGGAGGACGCGAGCGUUAUCCGGAUUCAUUGGGUUUAAAGGGUGCGCAGGCGGCCGUGCAAGUCAGCGGUGAAAGCCCGGGGCUCAACCCCGGAAGUGCCGUUGAUACUGCAUGGCUGGAAUGCGGUCGAGGCGGGCGGAACGUGGCGGGUAGCGGGGAAAUGCGUAGAUAUGCCACAGAACGCCGAUAGCGGAGGCAGCUCGCCAGGCCUGCAUGGACGCUCGGGCACGAAAGCGUGGGGAUCGAACAGGAUUAGAUACCCUGGUAGUCCACGCCGUAAACGAUGGGCGCUCGUCGUCGGCGGCAGACAGUCGGCGGCCAAGCGAAAGCGAUAAGCGCCCCACCUGGGGAGUACGGUCGCAAGGCUGAAACUCAAAUGAAUUGACGGGG